rnacentral:sRNA from 1 species
CACUUGUUUGGCAUUUAUUACGACUGUAAGGAUGGAGCAUGCAGAAGUUGGAGGACAGGCUGUGGGACUUGGAUCUCUCUUCAUCACAGGGCUUCCAGGGAUGUAACUCCAGCAAAGCACCUUUCCCUGUUGAGCCUUCUCUCCAGCCUAGAGCCCAGGGUCUUGCCCCUGCUACUUAAGCAUUCUACAGACUGAACACAGUUUAGAAAAGCUGGACCUUCUCAUUCUGGAAAUGGUAAAUAACCUGUUAUACAAACAAGAUUAAAGCUGGACAAAAAUGGUAACUGCUCUGAAGUUCAUCUAGUCAUGUGGAUACUGGUGAACAACUAUGCUGAAGUGUCCUUUGAACCUGACUCAAGCCAUGGAUUACUGACUGUGUGUGUGAGAGAGCCACAGAUAUCUAAGCAUCUAUACAGAAAGUCCAUCGAUAAUGACUGUUACUAACCUAUCAUGAUAGUAAGCUUAAACAGUAUUAUAUAUAUAAUAUACACACUGUAAACACAUUGCUAUAAGUAAUUUUACAUUUUAAAGCUUUACGUAAUCUACUUCUGGCUGGCAUCUAUUAUAAAUUAUUUAUAUAUCUGUGUGCAUACGGCUACAUGUGACUAUGGCAUAUUUAUGAUUAGAACUAUACGCCUCUUAAGUGCAUACAUUUUCUUAUUUUUACAUGAAGCCCAGAA